AAGGAGAACUAUUAUACACAACAUUUCAAGAUGACUGGUUGCACACAAGAGAAUUAGACUGACUGAAAUAUUAGGUGGGUCAAUUUACAAAUAUACAUUUCUCUGUAUGAGACAGUUUCUCUAAGUUUUACUGAACAGUUAGUGAACUGUUUUCAAAGAGGACUUUAUCUUUCACUUGGACACAUUCUGCGUUAUUCUUAUAGACCACAGCAAGCAUGUGGAUAUUAAGCAUUUAAAAGGCAUUUUAAAUUAACUCAUGCAUGUUUCUUGUAGAUUAUUUAAAAAUGCAGGAAGGGAAACAUCAUGAGUUAUCCUAUCACUGUAGAAAAAAAUGCUUCAAUAUUGAGAUAAACUGCCUUUUAUUUAUAUCACAUGGUAUCUUGCUUUUUCAUUUACAAUGUUGCGAACAUUCCCUAGUAUCAUUAAAAACAAUUUUAUAUCUGGUUUUAAAGUACACAGGCAGUCACAUAUUUUACACAUAUAGGAUGUUUCUUGCAAUUUUAAGUACUGUUCUAAUGAGCAUUGUUAUACUUACCUGUGUUUCUACAUCUUUCGUUUUCCCCUUAAAGUAGAUCCUUGAAGGAUAAUUACUGUAUCAGAAGGUACAAUGUUUUUUUUCUAACCUCUAAAAAUAUUUUUGAUGUCUAUUUAAAGCAGGAAUAUUAAACAUAGACCAGUAUAGUUCAUUAUAUAUUUUAAAUCUCACAUCAAAUUUUUUACAGAAUGUUGAAAGGUCUGUGAAUAGGAUUUUGAACAGAAAAAAAACCGGCAAUCUUCAUGCUCUCACUUUGCUCUCAGCAAGAACACCUGGGAUUCUUCAGCCUUGCCAUGUGUGGAGAACAGCCCAAAAAUAGGCCUGCGAACACUUCCAAGAUGGAUUGCUACUCUUUGCCUGAAGUAAAACAGAACCAGCUUUUAUUCACAUGCAGACUGAAAGGAAGACUCUCAGGUCAGACUGAAUCUCAGCAGAAUGGAAGUAUUUUCCCUCCAACUGUCAUCUCACCCCUUUUUCUCACGUGGUCUAUGGAACUCUUCAGGAGGCCCGGUCACUCCAGAAUUCUAUUCCUUGCAGACAGGAGCUUCUGUUCAGUCCCCAGAGAAUAUAGUUUGGGUAAUUCUUGCCAGCAACAUUCUCUUCAAGUCUGUCACAUGUCUUAUUGCCCAUCUGCAGAAUAAACUUCUGGAGGAAAGCCAGCAACUGACAAAUGGACAAUACAGCAACUGACAAAUGGAACGUUCUCCGAAGCUAAAUGGAAAACUCAUCAAUCAUACCCCCCGGUUGCCGAGUUAUACAUGGUGGAAAUCAUGUUCCGUGUCAAGUCUACCUUGAUAAGUCACACUUGUUCACUAACCCGCACAUCUCUAGCAAUGAACAGAGAAGGUAAAGGAGAAAGAACGACCCCAGGACUAAUUCCUUCAUUUCCUCCAGAUAUGAACUCUUGCUUUCAGAUGUUAAACGGUUGCUAAUUUCUUCCAGUAUUUAACAUGGAUGGUUUCUAGUCAUUAAACAAAAAGAGAAGAUGCCAGUUGAGAUAAAAAUCCCUCGGCACACAUUAAGUACACACAUUUCUGAGCAAACUACAACCAGACUUCAGAUGCCUGAGAAAUAGCACAGGCUGAAUUGAGUCACGGAGAACUAAUCAGUUUUCUGUUGUCCAGCCAAGCUCGUGUUUGUCUAGUUGUUUGCAUAUUCCUUGCCCAAACAGCAACAUCAAAGUAACAAGGAGAUGCCAGAAACUAGCACUACUUUAAAAGAAGACACUGUCUUUAAUUUGCUCACUUAUUAAACAAAUAUUAUGGGAUGCCUAUCAUUUGCCAGAUAUUGUUCUAGGCACUGGGGAUACCACAAUGAGCAAGAGACCUUUCCCCACAAAGAGAAAGGUCCUCUGCUAGUUCAUGAAAUGUCUUAUGAUUCAAAAUGAGAAAAUUAUAGUAAUGAUAAUGAAAUGGGUGAAAUAAUACAUAGUAGAAUAAAUAUGUUUUAAUGGGAGAGGGACUAUGGCCAGAAAGAUAUUUUCUUCAAGCUCUGAAAUAAAGCUUUCUUACAAACAAGUAAAAUUAAAGAAAUCCUAAGUGUGUCAACCUUUGUUUUAAUUUUUAUUGUGAAGAUUGUACCCAGAAGAAAAUGGAAAUGACUUCUAAAUACAUGAGAAUAGAUAAGUAUGAGUGUAGAUGUAUGUGGUGUAUAACUUCCUAUAGGUUUCUCCAGUCCUUUGCAGUUUCUAUUGAACUUUCUCAAAUCCAUUAGGUAAACCAACCAAAAAUGAAAAACUAGAGGCUCUUUCCUUCCUGCCACCCACAAAAUCAGCCCAGA
rnacentral:lncRNA from 1 species